AUUGAACCCUGGCGGCAGGCCUAACACAUGCAAGUCGAGCGGAUGAAGGGAGCUUGCUCCUGGAUUCAGCGGCGGACGGGUGAGUAAUGCCUAGGAAUCUGCCUGGUAGUGGGGGAUAACGUCCGGAAACGGGCGCUAAUACCGCAUACGUCCUGAGGGAGAAAGUGGGGGAUCUUCGGACCUCACGCUAUCAGAUGAGCCUAGGUCGGAUUAGCUAGUUGGUGGGGUAAAGGCCUACCAAGGCGACGAUCCGUAACUGGUCUGAGAGGAUGAUCAGUCACACUGGAACUGAGACACGGUCCAGACUCCUACGGGAGGCAGCAGUGGGGAAUAUUGGACAAAGGGCGAAAGCCUGAUCCAGCCAUGCCGCGUGUGUGAAGAAGGUCUUCGGAUUGUAAAGCACUUUAAGUUGGGAGGAAGGGCAGUAAGUUAAUACCUUGCUGUUUUGACGUUACCAACAGAAUAAGCACCGGCUAACUUCGUG
rnacentral:rRNA from 1 species